rnacentral:rRNA from 1 species
GACGAACGCUGGCGGCGUGCCUAAUACAUGCAAGUAGAACGCUGAAGGAGAAGCUUGCUUCUCCGGAUGAGUUGCGAACGGGUGAGUAACGCGUAGGUAACCUGCCUGGUAGCGGGGGAUAACUAUUGGAAACGAUAGCUAAUACCGCAUAAGAGUAGAUGUUGCAUGACAUUUGCUUAAAAGGUGCAAUUGCAUCACUACCAGAUGGACCUGCGUUGUAUUAGCUAGUUGGUGAGGUAACGGCUCACCAAGGCAACGAUACAUAGCCGACCUGAGAGGGUGAUCGGCCACACUGGGACUGAGACACGGCCCAGACUCCUACGGGAGGCAGCAGUAGGGAAUCUUCGGCAAUGGACGGAAGUCUGACCGAGCAACGCCGCGUGAGUGAAGAAGGUUUUCGGAUCGUAAAGCUCUGUUGUAAGAGAAGAACGAGUGUGAGAGUGGAAAGUUCACACUG